AGGCAAGGAAGUCAUCUGACACUCUUUGGCUGAAGAGCUGUUGGGGAAAGUCAGUGACCAGCUUUGUUGUUCCAAAAUAAAAUGGAGGUUUAGAGAAGUGACUGUGUUGUAGUCCCACUAAAGGUGAGAGUGGAUUGGAAUUGCAAGACCAAAAAUGGAACCGUAUCCUGCACAGCCCUCUUGGACCAGGACAUGGAAAGGACAGCACUGGAAGGCUUAUGCACUACCAAAUGUGCUUUCACAACCUCUUUGGCUACAGAGACAUCCUGCAUCCCACAUGCAUCUCACCUGGUAAACAUGAAUUUGCUCUGGCUAUUCUUUACACCAGUAGAACACAAGAAAGUAGCUUUCCAAAAAUCAAAAUAGUGGACAGCUCGAGCUCAUGGACCUCCACAGGAAUU